rnacentral:rRNA from 1 species
UGGGGAAUCUUGCACAAUGGAGGAAACUCUGAUGCAGCGACGCCGCGUGAGCGAAGAAGCCUUUCGGGGUGUAAAGCUCUUACGCCAGGGACGAUAAUGACGGUACCUGGAGAAGCAGCUGCGGCUAACUACGUGCCAGCAGCCGCGGUAAUACGUAGGCAGCAAGCGUUGUUCGGAAUUACUGGGCGUAAAGGGUGCGUAGGCGGCGCUCUAAGUUUGGUGUGAAAUCUCCCGGCUUAACUGGGAGGGUGCACUGAAAACUGGGGGGCUCGAGUAUGGGAGAGNAAAGCGGAAUUCCUGGUGUAGCGGUGAAAUGCGUAGAGAUGAGGAGGAACACCGUCGGUGCGGACGGCUUUCUGGACCAUCACUGACGCUGAGGCACGAAAGCGUGGGUAGCAAACA